rnacentral:rRNA from 1 species
AGCAGCCGCGGUAAUUCCAGCUCCGAUAGCGUAUAUUAAAGUUGUUGCAGUUAAAAGCUCGUAGUUGAAUUUCGGGGUCAGCAGGUUGGUCGUGCCAAUGGUAUGCACUGGCCUUGCUGAUUCCUCCCUCUUGUAGAACCGUAAUGCCAUUAAGUUGGUGUUGCGGGGAAACAGGACUGUUAACUUUGAAAAAUUAGAGUGUUUAAAGCAGGCUAACGCCUGAAUACAUUAGCAUGGAAUAAUGAAAUAGGACGAUCGAUCCUAUUUUGUUGGUUUCUAGGAUUGACGUAAUGAUUAAUAGGGAUAGUUGGGGGCAUUAGUAUUCAAUUGUCAGAGGUGAAAUUCUUGGAUUUAUUGAAGAAUGACUACUGCGAAAGCAUUUGCCAAGGAUGUUUUCAUUAAGUCAAAGAACGAAAGUUAGGGGAUCGAAGACGAUCAGAUACCGUCGUAGUCUUAACCAUAAACUAUGCGACUAGGGAUCGGAUGAUGUUAAUUUUAAUGA